rnacentral:rRNA from 1 species
UACGUAGGGGGCAAGCGUUGUCCGGAGUUACUGGGCGUAAAGCGCACGUAGGCGGUCUUUUAAGUCGGGGGUGAAAUCCUGGAGCUCAACUCCAGAACUGCCUUCGAUACUGGAAGACUUGAGUCCGGGAGAGGUGAGUGGAACUGCGAAGUGUAGAGGUGAAAUUCGUAGAUAAUUCGCAAGAACACCAGUGGCGAAGGCGGCUCACUGGCCCGGUACUGACGCUGAGGUGCGAAAGGCGUGGGGAGCAAACAGG